rnacentral:lncRNA from 1 species
UUUGUCUGAUAUAAGAAUAGUUGUUCCUGCUUGCUUUUGGUGUCCAUUUGCAUGGAAUAUCUUUUUCCACCCCCUUUGCCUUAAGUUUAUAUGAGUCCUUGGAAAUCACUUAAAACAACUCCAUUCAAAUUUUUUUCUAGUUUUUAAUUUUUAUUUUUUAAUUCUGGAACAGUAGAUAAAAUUCUGUCAAGACUAAUCAAAUGUUUUGCUGCAGUGCUAGUCUAUUAAACCUUCGCAUUUAUGUCAUUAUACUGUAAAAUAGAAUUUAUGGUACUUUUUAAUGUUUCAUUUUUCUCUUUUUAUAGUUUUUUGUAGAGCAAAGUAACAUUGGAGAUAAUUUUUUAUAUUAGCUUUGCUACUGAUACAAAUGAUAGACGCACACUCCUGAUAGAAGUAGGGCAUGAAUACUUGAUUAGUCUUUAACAGUGAUGGUUACAGGGAUAGUAUAUCGCAGUUACAGUUAAUCCCUGACCACUGAGUUGUUUAAGUAGGCAUUUAGGAUUCUUGUGAUUGAUGAAAUAAACUAAAAUAGUCUUGUCUUUAAGGAGAUGUAGCUUGAAUGAGGAUAAUGAAACCAUAGUAAUGUAGAUAAACCUUACUGACAUUUUGUGCUUUCAAAGGGAAAUGGGAUCUUAAACUGCUUUGGCUAAAAUUUCAAAAUGAAUUGUAGCCACAAUUCUGAAAUUAUGGGUCUCUGUCCCUAAAAAAUUCUUUUAAAGAAUUUAACAUCUACUUCUGCAAAAUGUCAAUAAUACCAUUUACCUCUUUUUUUCAGGGACGUAGUGAGGAGUACCUCUUUGAAAAUGGCAAAUGUUAUCUGUUAGACUGUUGCAUCUCAUCACUGGAAGAUAUUUUUUCACUAAACAGUCAUAGAGAAAAUGGUUAUCAUUGAUCUUAAAAUGGAUUGAUCACAAUCCUCACUGGACUAAAAUUGUUGGGAAUUAAAGUACAGAUCUUAUUUGAUUGUGAGCAGAAGAAACUUAAAAGCUUUGACUUUUCAAUUUAGAAGUUUGGAGAUUUAAGCAUUAAAAUGUCCUUAAGAAUAUUGCAUCAUAUCAUUAAGAGUCUGACUAUGGAAGGAAUGCGACCGUAUUACAUUCAGUAAAAUGACCAAAGCAAAAUUGAAGUGCCAGAAGAGAAAUAAGACCUUUGAAUUAUCCAUAGAUAGAAGAGCUUUAACUUUGCAGGGACAUGGAUGAAGCUGGAAACCAUCAUUCUCAGCAAACUAUCACAAGGACAGAAAACCAAACACCACAUGUUCUCACCCAUGCUCUAACUUGAGCUUUAUACCUUUAUUACCCCACUGCAUAUGCCAUGUAUAGUGGCUAGCUGGUAUCCCACCCUCAUGUGAGAAGGGCUAAAUGAAGAGAUGCUGAGCCCCUUCAAAGUGAGUGCUCUACUCUGUUGCAUUGCCCAAAGAUUAGAUUUCUUGACAUUUACCUUAAAACCCUGAACAGUUUGUGCUCGAGAGCUCUGCUAUUUGCUAAACUACUUUAGCAAACAGCAUGCUGUGAAGCAAGACCCCACCAGAGCCCUUUCUGCAAUAUCUUUUAAUUUUGGUUUUCCUAUAUGCCCACGUGUGGUUUUAUAUUAUAGACCAAUGGAAAAAAAAUAAUUUGAUGUGAGUAAUGUUGCUUUUUCCUCCAAUUUUUCACUGCUUUAAAAAAUAAUUGAGGAGAGCCUUUAAUACCUCUUUGAAAAUAAUUAUGAAGGUUUUUUACUAUUUGGAAGAUCAUAGAAUCCACCAUAUAGUAAUUUUUAAAUAUUUUAAAUUGGAUGUUUAACUUUAAAUUAGAAAAAACAACAUUAUUGAAAGCUUUUCUUUAAUAGAAAAAUUGCUUUGAUUUUUAUUUCAUAAUUGAUUUAAAAUAUUAGUUACAUGAAUUAUUAUUUACAACUUGCAUAGUAAUUUUCAUACAUCUCCAUAAUAAAAAUUCACUCUGUAAUCUCUUCUAUAAAAAGAAGUAAACAGCACCUGCCAGAGCACUGUAGCAACGAGAGCCAUCAAGUGUGUAUUCACUUCGUUAUUCAAAACAGCAGUGAAAGAGUUAAUAAAAGCUGAAUACAUUACAGGAUUACAAAGAUUUUUAUUUAUUAGGGGAUAGGGAGGGUAUGGUAUAUAUGGGAUGAAACAUUAAUAACCUCUCUAUUCUGCAAGACUGACCUAUUGCUUUGGAACUACUCUUUUAGCCCCACAGAGACUGUGAAACAGUGUUUUGGUGGUCUAUAGGAAAGGUUCAACUUGGCAAAUGUAGUGGUAAGUGAUGUCACUGAAUGCAUACCAUAUGUAUUGAGAGUCAGUGAAUGCUAUUCUCUCUGCUGCGCACAGGCAUGUGUAAGUGUUGGAAUGGAAAAAUCAUUUUUAUGAAAAUAUAGAGAAGUAAAACAAGAAUGUUCUGUCCUGAGCCUGAUCAGAUCACCAGUAGCUGCCAAGAGUGAACACUCCGUGUAAGGUUUUCUCUUCUUAAUUCUCCAGCUUCCGGCCUUUUGUUGGCUCUCAAAAGUAGUCUAUUCAGAAGGCCUUAUUCAGCAUGUUCUUUCUUGAUAUGAUAUGAACACCAAAUGAAAGUUCCAUUUUCUCCAUUAAAGUAAAGCUGGGAGAAUAUUUUAGUGUGCAUGGUUUGCAGCAGAUGGAAAUGAUUAAUUGAUUUAGCUAACUUGCCAAAUUGUUCUCUUUCCCAGUAGAGUUGGGUUUUAUCAGAGAGACUCGUACUGCUAAUCAUUGUAACACUUACUAAUAUAUCAGAAAGAAUAUAAUUGUUGUGUUUUAAUUAUUCUCAUUACUAUUAUUUAAGACAUGCUCUAAUGCUACACUAAUAGAUAUGGCAAAUAAAUAAGGCAAUUGAUUCCUGUUAGAAAUUUAUGACAUAUAAGAUAGAGUAGAAGAAUACAUGGAGAUAUAAAAAGGUGAAGUAGCCAGUUAUUUUACUCUUAAAUUUUUAUUAGCAAAUCAGUGUCCUUACUAAAAAUCAAAUGGUAUUUUCUUAAGCUUGAAUAGAUGCUAUCUUAAAUCUUAAUCUCUUUUGUAUUUUGUACAAAGACUGCCUGUUAUAACAGUAUGAUUUUAAGUAAUUUUUUAAAAAUAAAAGCAAUAUUUGCCCUUCAUAAUAGGACAUUAGAAAUACAAAUAUAAAUAAUAAAC